rnacentral:tRNA from 1 species
GGUUAGAUGGCAGAAUGGUUAUGCAAAAGAUUGCAAAUCUUAUAAUAUUGGUUCGAAUCCAAUUCUAGCUU